UACAGAGGAGCCAAGCGUUGUCCGGAUUGACUGGGCGUAAAGCGCACGCAGGCGGAUGCGCGCGUGGGGUGUGAAAUCUGGCCGCUUAACGGCCAGGCGCCAUCCCAUACGGCGCGUCUGGAGUGAUGCAGAGGUCGGUGGAGUUGCCGGUGUAGUGGUGAAAUGCGUAGAGAUCGGCAGGAACACCCAGGGGGAAACCAGCCGACUGGGCAUCUACUGACGCUGAGGUGCGAGAGCGUGGGGAGCGAACCGG
rnacentral:rRNA from 1 species